rnacentral:rRNA from 1 species
GGGCAGGCUUCUCUAUUGGCAGCAAGGCCUACCAUCAACCUUGCAUAGAAGAAUGUGAUUCGAGUAGAAGGAGUUGGAACACUCCGCCAAAGACGGUGAAAGCCCGGUAUACCAAGAAUCACAACCUUUUAUAUUUGUACGAGAUUUUCUCCAGAUCAUUUAUGAUUUGAAGAAAAUCUCCUAGUGUCAAGUAGGUCGGGACACGAGAAACCCUGACUGAAUCUGGGACGACCACGUCCCAAGGCUAAAUAUGAUAUACGAUCGAUAGUGAACGAGUACCGUGAGGGAAAGGUGAAAAGAACCCCGGAAGGGGAGUGAAAUAGAACCUGAAAUUAUGUGCGUACAAGGAGUCGGAGUCCCGCACAUAGACCUUGAUUGACAGCUAAGCUUACACAGUUUAGUGAGUCGUUAUGAUCGAGAGCUAUGUGCGGGAUGACGGCGUGCUUUUUGUAGAACGAUCCAGCGAGUUAUCGAUUAUUGCAAGCAUAAGUUUUAUAACGGAUGCGCAGUGAAAGCGAGCCUGAAUAGGGCGUAGAGGUCUCGUGCCUGGACAAAAACAAGACAUGAGAGCUAAAAUCAGAGUCUAAAACGACGAAAAAAUUUUGAGCAGUAUCGCCAAUACAGCUCAAACAUUUUUUCAUUCGUUUGUAGGCAACUGAUUUGAGCUCGCAAUGCUGUUUUUACCAGACACGAGACCUCUCCAGUAAUAAUUGAUAGACCCGAAACCAAGUGACCUAACCAUGGGCAGGUUGAAGCGUGGGUGAAACCACGUGGAGGACCGAACCAGGGAGCCCCACAACGCUCUUGGAUGACCUGUGGUUAGCGGUGAAAUGCCAAUCGAACUUGGAGAUAGCUGGUUCUCCUCGAAAUAGCUUUAGGGCUAGCGUCGUACGGUAACUGAUUGGGGUAGAGCUCUGUUUCGGACUGGGGCGGGCAACCGUACUCACCCUUGACAAACUACGAAUACAAUCAGUGAAACUACGGCAGUUAGAACGUCGGGGCUAAGCUCGGCGCUCGAAAGGGAAACAGCCCAGACCAUCAUCUAAGGUCCCUAAGUCUAUGCUAAGUGGGAAACGAGGUGAGAUUUCUUAAACAACGAGGAUGUUGGCUUAGAAGCAGCCAUUCAUUUAAAGAGUGCGUAACAGCUCACUCGUCAAGAGAUCUCGCGCGGAAAAUGUAACGGGGCUAAGCAUAGCACCGAAGAUAUGGAUGUCACACAUUUAGUGUGGCGUGGUAGAGGAGCGUUGAUAUUGCAUCGAAGUCGAACUGCGAGGUUCGGUGGAGCGGUAUCAAGUGAGAAUGCUGGAAUGAGUAACCAUAAGGCAGGUGAGAAUCCUGCCCACCGAAAGAGCAAGGUUUCCUGGGCCACGGUAAUCGUCCCAGGGUUAGUCGGUCCUAAGCCGAGGCGCGUAGCGUAGGCGAUGGACAACGGGUUAAUAUUCCCGUACCAGUUAUAUAUUAGUGUAGCGUGCGCAUCAUGUUAGCAAGAGCGGAUUUAUGGUUAUAUCCGUCUAAUCUCGUUUUACGACGAGAGAAUGAAAGACCUUUUUGGUCGAUUCUUGUGAGGGUGGUGACUAGAAAAGCGACUACACAUGCGUAUAUAGCUGACCGUACCGCAAACCAACACAGGUGCUCAGGUCGAGAAGACCAAGGUGUACGAGUGAUUCUUCGUCAAGGAACUCGGCAAUACAGCGACCGUAACUUCGGGAUAAGGUCUGCCCCGUCACUAUGUUUAUAAACGUAGUGACAGAUAUUGCAGUUUUCUAAAAUGAUAUUGUUGUGAGUUUUUUUCGAGAUAACAAAUCAAGCCAGAAAGCUGACUUCUGAUCCAUGCUUUUCAUGGGCAUUGCAUUUGGAUGUAGCGUGAAAUUUUACUACCGAAACGGAGCAAAGCGUACUUUUUGUACGCUGAAGCGAGUAUCGGAUAGUACAAAUAUUUGCGAUACGCCAAAAACACUAACAGAUUAAUAGGUAAUCUAUUAAACAGGUUAGUGUGAUGCAUUGGCCAUGUUUUGUAGAUAUGGUGACGGGGCCGCAGCUAAGGCGCCCAGGCAACUGUUUACCAAAAACACAGGUCUCUGCUAACACGAAAGUGGAUGUAUAGGGGCUGACUCCUGCCCGGUGCUGGAAGGUUAAGGGGACGACUUCACGGUCUGAACUGAAGCCCCAGUGAACGGCGGCGGUAACUAUAACCGUCCUAAGGUAGCGAAAUUCCUUGUCAGGUAAGUUCUGACCCGCACGAAUGGAGUAAUGAUUUGGGCACUGUCUCGACGAA